GCAUUAAUGGGGUAGUGGUAACCUGGGUCGUUGCCAUUGAAAUCCAUCACGUGAUGGAUUACGUACGCGGGUUCGACCCGCCGGGGGUUCGAUUCCCUCUUAAUGCA